rnacentral:RNase_P_RNA from 1 species
UCCGGGGGAAGCUCACCGCCGAGGCCACCCACGGGGUGCCCGUCACCCGCCGGCCACGCCUCGGGGAAGGUCUGAGGGAAGGGCCGCCCGCGGCCCCAGCAGGGCCCCGCCCGCGCGGGCGGGUGAGCCACCAGCAAGGGGGGGCGCCGCGCUGGGCCGGCCUGGGCAGGAGAAGCUGGGAGCGGGGCGCGGGGGGCGCCGUUCCCCCCAGCCACCCCCGCCCCGGCGGAUGCUCGUGGCCCCGCGGUGCUUUGAGACAGACUCACGGCCGGCGCGCUGAGUCCAAUGGGUGAGGUGGGGCACGGCCCCACAACCCAAUUCAGACUACUCUCCCCCGGG